GACUGGGGUUUGUGUGUGUGUGUGUGUGUGUGUGUGUGUGUGUGUAUAUAUAUAUAUACACACACACACACACACACACACACACACACAUACACAGC